rfam:Schizopora paradoxa strain KTC8140 unplaced genomic scaffold SCHPAscaffold_00104, whole genome shotgun sequence.
UCCGAUAUGGUGUAGUGGCUAACAUUGCCGCCUCUCACUUUCGGUUCUGAGGAAUCGAACCCCGAGAUUUAAUUCGCGGCAGCCCUGGGUUCAAUUCCCAGUAUCGGAA